CACCAAAAGUGUAGGCGGUGGAAACAGACACGAUCAAACACAGUUGAGAAAGAGAUGCAGAAGUCGAUGCAAGAGAAGGUGUUGGAGUGGAGCGGAGUGCAUCCGGACGACGCCUUCGCCAUCGACGGGACGAAUCUCUACGAAAAGCUAGGGCUUCAGACAUUCAUUAACCUGUCCACCAACUUCUACAACAGAGUUUAUGAUGAUGAGGAGGAAGAGUGGUUUCGAUCAAUUUUUGCUAAUUCCAAAAAGGAAGAUGCCAUUCAAAAUCAAUACGAGUUCUUCGUACAGAGAAUGGGAGGGCCUCCAUUGUACAGCCAAAGAAGAGGCCAUCCUGCAUUAAUUGCCCGGCACCGGCCCUUCCCGGUCACCCGGGAAGCUGCAGAGAGGUGGCUACACCACAUGCAGCAAGCACUGGACACCACUAAGGAUAUCGAUUCAGAUUCCAAAACCAAAAUGAUGAACUUCUUUAGGCACACUGCCUUCUUUCUCGUCGCCGGAGAUGAAAUGAAGAACCAGAAUAAACAGCCAAAGCCCGCCGAAACAGAAUGAACUCAAUCGCGCGGAUCAGGAGGAAAUGGCGACGACGAUGGAUUCGCGUAUUUGGCGGAGAAAGACCUUCGGAAGUACUCUGGCUCCUCAACCUGCUCGAUUCCUUCGUCAAAAUUCUGCAGGCUUGGCCUCCUAACCGCACGCUUUUGCUGCGCGUCUUCUUCCAGCCGGCGAAAGUGAUCGCCAUUGAAAUUAAGUGCGAAGAAAGAGGAAUAAGGAAUUAGUACGGCGAUUGAGUCUGCUAAUUGGAACUUGAAGACUCGUCC